UACAGGGGGGGCAAGCGUUGUUCGGAAUUACUGGGCGUAAAGGGCUCGUAGGUGGCCAACUAAGUCGGACGUGAAAUCCCUCAGCUUAACCGGGGAACUGCGUCCGAUACUGGAUGGCUUGAGUUUGGGAGAGGGAUGCGGAAUUCCAGGUGUAGCGGUGAAAUGCGUAGAUAUCAGGAGGAACACCUGUGGUGUAGACAGCUUACUGGACCAUUUCUGACGCUGAGACACGAAAGCGUGGGUAGCAAACAGG
rnacentral:rRNA from 1 species